rnacentral:lncRNA from 1 species
AGGCAGGCCAAUCACUUGGGGCCAGGAGUUCGAGACCACCCUGGCCAAAUAGCGAAUCCCUGUCCCUACUCAAAAAUACAAUUAAUUGGGUGAGGGCGGGUGUGGUGGCUCACGCCUGUAAUCCCAGCGCUUUGGGAGGCCGAGGCGGGCAGAUCACGAGGUCAGGAGAUUGAGACCAUCCUGGCUAACAAGGUGAAACCCUAUCUCUACUAAAAAAUACAAAAAUUAGCGGGGCGUGGUGGCGGGCGCCUGUCGUCCCAGCUAUUUGGGAGGCUGAGGCAGGAGAAUGGCGUGAACCUGGGAGGCGGAGCUUGCAGUGAGCCGAGACGGCGCCACUGCACUCCAGCCUGGGUGACAGAGCGAGACUCUGUCUCAAAAAAAAAAAAAAAAAAAAAAAAAUUAGUUGGGUGUGGUGGCACUUGCCUGUAAUCCUAGCUUCUUGGGAGGCUGAGGCACGAGAAUCACUUGAACCCGGGGCAGAGGUUGCAGUGAGCCAAGAUAGCACCACUGCACUCCAGCCUGGGUGACAGAGCGAGACGCUGUCUCAAAAAAAAAAAAAAAAAAAAAAAAAAAAAAAAGGAUGGGGUAAAGGGCACCCUGCACAACUGCUAUGCAUCUCAAUAGUAAAGGCAAAAGGGAAUUAAUGCAUAUCACAGUUAUCUACAAUACUUGACUCUGCUUUUCUGGAAUUUAUAAACAAACAUUCAAUUAGAAUUCUGGGUCAUGCUGUAAUUCCAACUAGCCUUUGUCAGUUACAUAGGUGCCGUUUUACAUUUCCAUAUUUUACCCCAGAGGAUUUAUUUUUCACUUCUAAUAGAGAUGCAUCAAGUUUGUGUUGGGGAUCAGGAAUUAGCCGAGCGACGCAGAUGGCCUUCAUAAACCCCUGCUGCCACCUUGUGGUGUUGCUGAGGAGCGACAGAAGUCCAUCACUUCUGUUUAAAAACAAAACAAAUCACCAAUCACCUAAUCCUGGCCACCCCGUGCAAUACAUUUAAGGCUCAAAACUUCAAAAACAACCCGUCCUCUCCUGUUUUCCAUUCUGCUUUUGCCCUUCCCCCGACUGAUACUUGUUGGAUGACCUCACCUGAUUUCUAUAUAGAAAAUUGUGUCCAGCUGGUGUUAGUUCCCUCCAGCCCGCUCAUCUCCACUUGAAUGUGAUCCUGGGAACGCGUGUUUUCCUCUGAUACUUCCUUCUGAUUGUGAGGAAAGGGACCCCCAUCUCAUCUUCUCUCUGCAGCUCAUUUCCAGGAAAGUUUGGCCCUCACACCUCCCCCUAGGAGGGGAGCACGCCCACCCUAAGGCAACAAAUGCUGAAUGUUCCAGACCUGGCCCCAGCUCAUUUUCCAAGUUCUUCAAUUUCAGGAAAAUAAUUUGAGACUCUUCUCUACCUUUGAAGGACAUUGGUAGGGUUCUUUCCUGGGAUUUGUGAGUUUAUCUUUUAUACAAUCUUGACCCUUUGAUUUUUGUCUUACAUUUUCUUGAUUUCCCAAUAUGGGGUCUAUUUUAAGUGGCUCUGGAAGUUUGGAUGUUCAGGCUCUUGCAAAUAAUUUGAUUGAAUGGACUGAAACACUCGAGUUUCCCUGAAUACCUGAAACUUCUUAACUCUCUAAACUGAGUACUUUGGCUAUGCAGUCUCAGAGUCCAAGGUCCGGCUCUUGUUUUUCUGUUCUUCGCAAGACCUAGAUAAAGUGCGUAGGAGAGAAGUACUAGUUGCCACCCGAUCUGGGUCCCAACUUGCUGGAGGGCCCUGGAGAAGCUGUUCGUGUAAAAGCCAAACCAUCGAUUCCCUUAAUGACACAUUUUUCUAAAAUUUACAGUUGUAUGAUCUAGUUCACAUAUGACAUAAGAUUCCCACAGGCACUUAACCUAGGGAGUGAAGUGUAAGUGUGCUUCCUUGAGUAGGCACCUUGUUCAAUGCACAACCCAUGCUUUUGGAGAUUUUGGGUAACUUUUGAUCAUAUCAAUGACUAUUUUUUAGCCAAUCCUUCUAAGGGUACUUCAACUUUUGUCUCUAGUACACAUUUAACAAAUUCCUAGAAUUUAUAUCCAAUAUGUCAGAUAUAUCUCUUUGAAGUGUCUUACUUCCACUUUGCUGCCUAAAAAUUGAUUUUAUAGAACUUGCUACACCUUAGAAAACUAUUAAGCAAGUCGUGGCAUACAGAGGGUUUAUACCAAAUUAAUGAGGCCUGCCCAAAUAGAAUGAAAAGAGGCAAGAGCUAUCACAUAAGUUCAUUCAGCUCCUUUGCACUUUUAUUUAUUUAUUUGUGUACCUUUAAAAACAAAGAAUUAGGGAUCAUAAAAUUCUAAAUUGAUACAUCCAACAUUAUUUACUUAAAUUUUAAAAAUAUUUUUGUAAUUUUUUUCCCUCCUCUAUUUUCUUCCUAGAGCCCACUCCCUCUAGGCUAAGAUAAUUGAACAAGAUGCUAAUAAUAUUACCC